GAUGAACGCUGGCGGCGUGCCUAAUACAUGCCAGUCGAGCGAACAGACGAGGAGCUUGCUCCUCUGACGUUAGCGGCGGACGGGUGAGUAACACGUGGAUAACCUACCUAUAAGACUGGGAUAACUUCGGGAAACCGGAGCUAAUACCGGAUAAUAUAUUGAACCGCAUGGUUCAAUAGUGAAAGACGGUUUUGCUGUCACUUAUAGAUGGAUCCGCGCCGCAUUAGCUAGUUGGUAAGGUAACGGCUUACCAAGGCAACGAUGCGUAGCCGACCUGAGAGGGUGAUCGGCCACACUGGAACUGGGACACGGACCAGACUCCUACGAGAGGCAGCAGUAGGGAAUCUGCCGCAAUGGGCGAAAGCCUGACGGAGCAACGCCGCGUGAGUGAUGAAGGUCUUCGGAUCGUAAAACUCUGUUAUUAGGGAAGAACAAAUGUGUAAGUAACUAUGCACGGCUUGACGGUACCGAAUCAGAAAGCCACGGCUAACUACGUG
rnacentral:rRNA from 1 species